rnacentral:tRNA from 1 species
GCCGGCGUGGCUCAGCGGCGACAGCACCUGCUUUGUAAGCAGAUUCCUAACGGACACGUGGGUUCGAGUCCCACCGUCGGCU